AUUCGCCCUUCGCAUUACGCGAAAGAGUGAGAGAUGCAGACAAGGAGACUGGGGAGGAGGGGACUGACAGAGAAAGAGAGGAAAAAAAAACCCAUGCCGGCUUUCUCUUCCGGUUCGGCAGUUUCAAGGUGCCCUCGGCCUACUCGUUUGCAUAUUUAUUACGCGUCACAAACGGGAAAUCCGCACGUGGAGGCACGCGCGGAUUUUAAAUGAAAGUUCCAACUGACCUGUUUGUGUUAACUCGCCCUGGAAGGACAGAUUAUAGGAAAGGGCAUCUCGCUUUUUGUUUGCAUAUGAGGGCUUCUAGAUAAAUAUACCAGCAGACGCCAAUGCCUCUGAGGAUGUAUUGGCAGUGUGUGGCAAAUAAUCUGCCAGGACCUGGAGAAGAAACAGGAUGGGAAAAUAAUGAAAGCAAAAUUUUGUUUUUGGUAUGGAGAUCCUUGGAAGGAUAUCCCUGAGAUAGUCUUCCUGUGGAUUAUGGAAAACAUUUGCCUCAUUCCGAACCUAGUCCUGCAUGAAAGCCUCCAGGAGAGUUUAGUGGUAUUGAGAUUCAUUCUCCUGUUUCAUUCCUUAAACAGCAAUGUGAAAGGAAUAUGGCCUCGCAUUUUACUUCCAAUCGGCCUUUAGUAGAUCACCCAAAAUUGCAGUGCGAAAUUGAACAGACUGUCUUUUACUUACUGUGAAUGAUUGGGCAGCUGUUUAAACCUAUUAAAAAGUAAUUUGGGUAUGUGUAAACACACGUACACAAACACACACACAAGCCUGGUUCUGGUUGCGUCUUGGAGGUUUGCCUCUUGCCUGUCUUACAGCCUGCCUUAUUAACAUUCUGGUUUAACAUCUUGUAGCUUCUAUGUUUAAGAAAUCUGCAGUGGAAAUUCAAUGUGCCGGUGGGUUUCUGCAACUGCAGUACAUGAAUCAUACUGCAGUAAUUUUGCUGUGUGACUCACACUGCAGUUAUGUGUAAUUUUUAUUUUAGCAAGCAUGGCAGUGUAAAAGGUUACACACAUUAUGUAAUAUAUUGUAUUCCUUUAGCAGGAGGCGAUGACCUGAUUUUCUAGAAUGCUGUAAACAGAAAAGAUACUGAUUACUUAUUCCAACUGCAGUUUUAAUGUAUAUUUAAAGGAGGAAAUGCUUUAGAGUUGUGAAGGAGUAACAUUUUCCACAUGCCAUGUGAGAAUAGAGAUGGAAGAUGACAUGUUGUAAAUGAGAGUGCAACUUCAGGCCAGACAACAUUCCAUUCUAGCAUUGUAUGAAGGGGGAAAAAAGCAUUCAUCAGGUCAAGUUUGGAAAAUUAGCUGAAUGGCUGACUCGAACAGUAAGCUCUGUGGAUCAGCAAAACAAAGCAUUGUUGGUUGCACGGUUGAGAGAGCACCUCAUCUUGCAGACCCAGCAUAACAACCAGGGAUCCAAUAAACUUUGGAUAUUGUGACAUAAA